GAACGCUGCACCGGGGCUUGCCCUGGUGUGGAGUGGCGCACGGGUGAGUAGCGCGUGGGAACCUGUCCUCUUGUGGGGGAUAACCGAGGGAAACUUCGGCUAAUACCGCAUGCGCCCGGUGGUGCUCCUUUGGGAGCGAUCUCCGGGGAAAGAUUUAUCGCAGGAGGAGGGGCCCGCGUCGGAUUAGCUUGUUGGCGGGGUAACGGCCCACCAAGGCUUUGAUCCGUAGCUGGUCUGAGAGGAUGAUCAGCCACACUGGGACUGAGACACGGCCCAGACUCCUACGGGAGGCAGCAGUGGGGAAUAUUGGACAAUGGGCGCAAGCCUGAUCCAGCAAUGCCGCGUGAGUGAUGAAGGCCUUCGGGUUGUAAAGCUCUUUCGCCCGCGACGAUGAUGACGGUAGCGGGAGAAGAAGCCCCGGCUAACUUCGUGCCAGCAGCCGCGGUAAUACGAAGGGGGCGAGCGUUGUUCGGAUUUACUGGGCGUAAAGGGCGCGUAGGCGGCGUGGGAAGUCAGGCGUGAAAGCCCCGGGCUCAACCUGGGAACUGCGCUUGGGACUCUCAGGCUGGAGUUCGGGAGAGGAGCGUGGAAUUCCCAGUGUAGAGGUGAAAUUCGUAGAUAUUGGGAAGAACACCGGUGGCGAAGGCGGCGCUCUGGACCGAGACUGACGCUGAGGCGCGAAAGCGUGGGGA
rnacentral:rRNA from 1 species